GUGCUCGCUUCAGCAGCACAUAGACUAAAAAAAUGGGAAUGAUACAGAGAAGAUUGGCAUGGCCCCUGUGCAAGGAUGACAGAAUUAACCACUGUUCCAAAAGAGU
rnacentral:snRNA from 1 species